GAUGAACGCUGGCGGCGUGCUUAACCCAUGCAAGUCGAACGGAAAGGCCCAAGCUUGCUUGGGUACUCGAGUGGCGAACGGGUGAGUAACACGUGGGUGAUCUGCCCUGCACUUCGGGAUAAGCCUGGGAAACUGGGUCUAAUACCGGAUAGGACGAUGGUUUGGAUGCCAUUGUGGAAAGUUUUUUCGGUGUGGGAUGAGCUCGCGGCCUAUCAGCUUGUUGGUGGGGUAAUGGCCUACCAAGGCGUCGACGGGUAGCCGGCCUGGGAGGGUGUACGGCCACAUUGGGACUGAGAUACGGCCCAGACUCCUACGGGAGGCAGCAGUGGGGAAUAUUGCACAAUGGGCGCAAGCCUGAUGCAGCGACGCCGCGUGGGGGAUGACGGCCUUCGGGUUGUAAACUCCUUUCGCUAGGGACGAAGCGUUUUUGUGACGGUACCUGGAGAAGAAGCACCGGCUAACUACGUG
rnacentral:rRNA from 1 species